ensembl:lncRNA
CCCUGUUCUUCGUAACACAUUUACAGAUCAUCUCAUAGAGUGUCUUUUCUUUUCCUUCAUUCUUUUUUUUUCUUGGUCAAUCUUGUUCCAAGUUCUAAGAGGUUUCUUCUCUUACAUUUUCUGGGUUUCUGACUUCCAGCCCAGGCAGCUUUGCCUCUCAAAUUCUGGGGCAGUAUGGGAAACUCUAUGUCGUGUCCUUAGGUGAAGAGAAAGGGUGCGAGCGGACAGUCCCCAGUUUAAUCUCCAUCGCUGAGAAAGAGAACACUGAGGACCCCCAGACACCUCCCUCGGGUCCGCGCCCUGCUUCUCAACUCUAACUCGGGGGCCCAAAUUUGGAGUGACGGACCCUCCUUCACCCCCAACCCGGACUCUCAAGUGCACAG